UACGGAAUGUGCAAACGUUAUUCGGAAUCACUGGGCUUAAAGAGUCCGUAGGCGGCGUGUUAGGUGAGGUGUGAAAUCCCCCGGCUCAACCGAGGAAUUGCGCUUCAAACCGGCGUGCUUGAGGAAGAUAGAGGUGGGCGGAACUGAUGGUGGAGCGGUGAAAUGCGUUGAUAUCAUCAGGAACACCGGAGGCGAAGGCGGCCCACUGGGUCUUUUCUGACGCUGAGGGACGAAAGCUAGGGGAGCAAACGGG
rnacentral:rRNA from 1 species